rnacentral:rRNA from 1 species
GAUGAACGCUGGCGGCGUGCCUAAUACAUGCAAGUCGAGCGAACGGACGAGAAGCUUGCUUCUCUGAUGUUAGCGGCGGACGGGUGAGUAACACGUGGAUAACCUACCUAUAAGACUGGGAUAACUUCGGGAAACCGGAGCUAAUACCGGAUAAUAUUUUGAACCGCAUGGUUCAAAAGUGAAAGACGGUCUUGCUGUCACUUAUAGAUGGAUCCGCGCUGCAUUAGCUAGUUGGUAAGGUAACGGCUUACCAAGGCAACGAUGCAUAGCCGACCUGAGAGGGUGAUCGGCCACACUGGACCUGAGACACGGUCCAGACUCCUACGGGAGGCAGCAGUAGGGAAUCUUCCGCAAAGGGCGAAAGCCUGACGGAGCAACGCCGCGUGAGUGAUGAAGGUCUUCGGAUCGUAAAACUCUGUUAUUAGGGAAGAACAUAUGUGUAAGUAACUGUGCACAUCUUGACGGUACCUAAUCAGAAAGCCACGGCUAACUACGUG